GACGAACGCUGGCGGCGUGCUUAACACAUGCAAGUCGAGCGGUAAGGCCUCUUCGGGGGUACACGAGCGGCGAACGGGUGAGUAACACGUGGGUGACCUGCCCUUCACUCUGGGAUAAGCCUGGGAAACUGGGUCUAAUACCGGAUAUUCACUACUUGUUGCAUGGUGGGUGGUGGAAAGUCCUGGGUUUAGUUGCCUGGGUUCGGUGGGGGAUGGACCCGCGGCCUAUCAGCUUGUUGGUGGGGUGAUGGCCUACCAAGGCGACGACGGGUAGCCGGCCUGAGAGGGCGACCGGCCACACUGGGACUGAGACACGGCCCAGACUCCUACGGGAGGCAGCAGUGGGGAAUAUUGCGCAAUGGGCGGAAGCCUGACGCAGCGACGCCGCGUGGGGAUGACGGCCU
rnacentral:rRNA from 1 species